AGCUACUGUUGGCGGGACUGGAGGAUCCUCUCUGGAGACUAGAUACUCUCAGGGUGGAGCCUGCUGGAGUCAGAUAUUUGACACCAGGUCCAUGGAGAUAUUCCUGUGAACUCACACUGGACACAAACACAGUGAACAGAGAACUCAAACUC